rnacentral:ncRNA from 2 species
UAAUUAGAUAGAGGCGCACUUUUUAUAAGUAUACUGUGGAGAUGGCAAUCAAUGAAGUAGUAAAAAGGAAACGGUGCCGAAACACUAGUAAGGCAUUACUAGGAGUUGGGUAUAUAGAGAAUAUCUAUGUAACUGUCAUAAUAUUAUGAUGUGCUAUCAGUAUA